CAGAGUUUGAUCCGGCUCAGGAUGAACGCUAGCUACAGGCUUAACACAUGCAAGUCGAGGGGCAGCAUGAACUUAGCUUGCUAAGUUUGAUGGCGACCGGCGCACGGGUGAGUAACACGUAUCCAACCUUCCGUUUACUCAGGGAUAGCCUUCCGAAAGAAAGAUUAAUACCUGAUAGUAUGGUGAGAUUGCAUGAUAGCACCAUUAAAGAUUUAUUGGUAAACGAUGGGGAUGCGUUCCAUUAGG
rnacentral:rRNA from 1 species